rnacentral:rRNA from 1 species
AGGACGAACGCUGGCGGCGUGCUAAUACAUGCAAGUAGAACGCUGAAGAGAGGAGCUUGCUCUUCUUGGAUGAGUUGCGAACGGGUGAGUAACGCGUAGGUAACCUGCCUUGUAGCGGGGGAUAACUAUUGGAAACGAUAGCUAAUACCGCAUAACAAUGGAUGACACAUGUCAUUUAUUUGAAAGGGGCAAUUGCUCCACUACAAGAUGGACCUGCGUUGUAUUAGCUAGUAGGUGAGGUAACGGCUCACCUAGGCGACGAUACAUAGCCGACCUGAGAGGGUGAUCGGCCACACUGGGACUGAGACACGGCCCAGACUCCUACGGGAGGCAGCAGUAGGGAAUCUUCGGCAAUGGGGGCAACCCUGACCGAGCAACGCCGCGUGAGUGAAGAAGGUUUUCGGAUCGUAAAGCUCUGUUGUAAGUCAAGAACGAGUGUGAGAGUGGAAAGUUCACACUGUGACGGUAGCUUACCAGAAAGGGACGGCUAACUACGUGCCAGCAGCCGCGGUAAUACGUAGGUCCCGAGCGUUGUCCGGAUUUAUUGGGCGUAAAGCGAGCGCAGGCGGUUUGAUAAGUCUGAAGUUAAAGGCUGUGGCUCAACCAUAGUUCGCUUUGGAAACUGUCAAACUUGAGUGCAGAAGGGGAGAGUGGAAUUCCAUGUGUAGCGGUGAAAUGCGUAGAUAUAUGGAGGAACACCGGUGGCGAAAGCGGCUCUCUGGUCUGUAACUGACGCUGAGGCUCGAAAGCGUGGGGAGCGAACAGGAUUAGAUACCCUGGUAGUCCACGCCGUAAACGAUGAGUGCUAGGUGUUGGAUCCUUUGCCGGGAUUCAGUGCCGCAGCUAACGCAUUAAGCACUCC